GAUGAACGCUGGCGGCGUGCUUAACACAUGCCAGUCGAACGAAGCAUUUAGGACAGAUUACUUCGGUUUGAAGUUCUUUAUGACUGAGUGGCGGACGGGUGAGUAACGCGUGUGUAACCUGCCUUGUACUGGGGGAUAGCAGCUGGAAACGGCUGGUAAUACCGCAUAAGCGCACAAUGUUGCAUGACAUGGUGUGAAAAACUCCGGUGGUAUAAGAUGGACCCGCGUCUGAUUAGCGAGUUGGUGAGAUAACAGCCCACCAAGGCGACGAUCAGUAGCCGACCUGAGAGGGUGACCGGCCACAUUGGGACUGAGACACGGCCCAGACUCCUACGGGAGGCAGCAGUGGGGAAUAUUGCACAAUGGAGGAAACUCUGAUGCAGCGACGCCGCGUGAGUGAAGAAGUAAUUCGUUAUGUAAAGCUCUAUCAGCAGGGAAGAUAGUGACGGUACCUGACUAAGAAGCUCCGGCUAAAUACGUG
rnacentral:rRNA from 1 species